CUCCUCCUCCGAGUCUUUUCGGUUUGGCUCGAUCCGCUUUGCCGCAGCACGAGAGAGGAAGGAAUCCCUCACGCCGUUCUCGUCUCGCCGUCGGCGCGGCGUGACGGCGUCGCGAUGGACCCCGCCGCCGCUGCCGCCGCCGGCGGCGGCGCCGGUCCAAAAUCUGAUGCGGCCCCUUCCGCACCGGCGCUGCACGGCCUGCCGGUGGAGAUGACGACGGGGGAGAUGGAGGCCGCCAUCGCCGCCCUCCCCGCGAAGAAGGAGGCGCUGCGCGAGGCCUUCGACGUCCUCGCCGCCUGCUCGCCCUUCCCGCUCCCCUUCGCCUGGGGCGACCUCGACUCCUACAUCUCCUCGCUCCAGUCGUCGAUCGACCGGCGGUUCGGCCAGCUCCGGGUCCUCGAGGCGGCCCGCCCCGCGCUUGCAGGUCCCGCCGCCGCCUCCACAAGCGACGGCGAGAAGGGCGGGAAGCAGGAAGAGGACAGCGACGAGGAGGAGAAAGAGGAGGAGGAGGAAGAGGUUGAGGAGGAAGAAGUUGAGGAAGAGGAGGAGAUUGAGGAGGAAGAGGUCGAGGAGGAGAUUGAGGAGGAAGAAGAGGAGAUUGAGGAGGAGGAAGAGGAAGUCAGAGAAGAGGUUCAGGAGGCCGGGGAGGAGGUCGACGAGGAGCAGCAGGGAGCCAACGAGGAGAUGCAGAAGUCCAAAGAAGAUGCUGAUGAGGCUUCCAAGAGUGCGAUUCCAGUGCAGAAACAGGAAGAGGAUGAGGCAGAGAAGGAGAUAAUUGAGGCCAAAGAUGAGGAGCAACAUGGGGACAAGCUGGCCUCUCAAGAACACGACAUUGGGGAGAAUGGGGAUGUGGAGGCCCAAGGGGUUCAGCAGGUGGCUGACGGUGAGACAAUGGAGGCCAAAUUGGAGGAGCAAAAUGAGGCUAAGGUGACAUCUAUGGAGCAUGACAUCGAGGAGGGCGACGAGAAAGCGUCUCGAGAACAAGGCAAUCGAGCUCUUCCAAGUUGCAGCGAUCAUCUUAGGGGAGUGUGUGCUGGCAUGGACGUCAGGGGGCUGUUGAAAUUGGUGUGUAAGAACCAGAGCAUUUGCCUCUGGCAUGAGUACCCCGUGGUGAUGCGCCAUGCCCCAGAUGCUGCUGCCCUUGUCCUCCAAGUCGUCCAGGGUUUCCUUCUCAGCAAGAAGAUGAAGACCACCAAGGUUUGGGGUAACUGUGUUGGGCUGAUUCGGUGCUUACCUGCAGUGAAUGCCUCGCUGUCCUCAGACACAAUGAAGCAGGCCAAGCAGCUGGCGAAGGAUUGGAAGGAGAUGAUUGACAGCACUGGAAGCAGCAGGGACGUUUUGAACCUGUCCUCCUGGGGCCUCCUGUAUUUUCUCAUUUCUUAUAACAUUGUAUCGGAGUUUUCUGUUGAUGAGAUCUUCUGUAUCUUUGGUACUCUUUCACGCAAACAACAGAAAAAGAACUGCAUCGAACUCUGCAAAGGUCUUGGGCUUGUCAAUAGGAUCACUGACUUAAUUGAUUAUUUGAUUGGAAAUGGUCAACAACUCGAAGCCUUACUGUUAACACAAGCUUUUAAUUUGAUAGACAAAUAUACUCCACUUUCUCUUCUGAAGGGAUAUGUUGAAAGGGCAAAACAGAAUGCUCUGGAUAUAAUUAAUAUGAAUUCUCCACGCAAGUCUCUGAGUCCACUUAUAACGAAGGAGGUGGAUAGUCUAAUGGUUGCACAGAACAUAGUUCAACAGCAGAUCACUGAUUUCAACGUGCGCAGUGGUAUGCUGGCAGAAAUGAAGAAAUUAUUAGAUCAAUAUGCAACGAAGCGAAGUUCAGGGGAUGCUUGUUCUGCCUCAACUUCAAAUUCAGAGCAGCAGCAGCAGCAGCAGCAGCAGCAGCAGCAAAAGCAUACAAACAAGAAGCGCAAGAGAGAGCAGCUCGAGCAGCAACAGCACAGGGGACAAGAGAUCCAGCAGCAGAAGCAACAGAUUAAACCACAAGGGAAGAAGGGGCAGCAGCAAACUAAGCCAGAACAGAAGAAGCAACAACAGCUAAACACAAAUAAGCCUCAAGAGCAACAACAACAGCAGCAGCAGAAGCAACAAAUUAAGCCGCAAGAGAAGAUGGGGAAGGAGCAAACUAAGCCAGAAGAGCAGCAGCAGCAACAAAAGACAAAUAGGCCUCAAGAACAACAGCAUAAGAAGCCACAGAAAAAACAGCAGCAGCAGCAACAACAACAGCAAAGUAAGCCACAAGAGAAACGCCCAAGGCCAUGCACCACCAAGCUGCCAACACCAUCUAUCCCUGCUUCCAUAUCACCUAUGGUUCCGCAUAUUGUGCAGGUUGAUUCUGUUGGGCAUUCACCAUAUGCUGCAAUGCCUAUAUCUCACACUUAUGCUGCCCAACUAGGCUGGCCUGGAAAUCAGAGCGCUGCAUUUGCACAAAAUGUUGGAGUUUCUCAAUUUAUGGGUAUGUUUAAUCCCCAACAGCUUAAUUAUCCCUUCUACCGUCAUCCACCGUUCUAUCCCAGGUAGCACUUGCUGCAAUGGGUUGUUGAGUAAACUAGAGAAAGAUAUAGAUGCUUACAGGAGUUUUCCUCUUGAAUUGUGUUGGCUCAAUUGCCUCAUGUUGUGUUGGACAUUUAUUUACAUUAACAUGUAUAUACAGUUUUGGCCAUUCUCUUUGUUGUAAUAGCUUUUCAAUAGUUCUGCCCUUUGAAGGUGCAGCUUGUUGAUUUAACUGACAGUUGACAUGCUCCUUGUUUCGUUUGUUAUUUUAAGUGUGGACGUUUGAGGAUUAUAUGCAAAGGCGUGGAGGUAUGAUGGUGCGGUUUCUGUUCAA
rnacentral:lncRNA from 1 species